CAGAGCACACAGCCUCAAGAAAUACGAGAAAGGCGGCAGGGGCAGAGUGGACACAACCUGAAAACCAACUGGACUGAGCAUCCUUCUCCUAAAAUCUCAGCCAGAAGCCACGAUGGAGGGUCCUGGGAAGGGAAGAGAUGUGAAGAUUUCUGUGAUUCUAAAACCUUGGGUCUGCCUGCAAACUUCUCUCUGAUCCCAGCCGAGA
rnacentral:lncRNA from 1 species